rnacentral:rRNA from 1 species
UACGGAGGAUCCAAGCGUUAUCCGGAAUUACUGGGCGUAAAGAGUUGCGUAGGUGGCAUCGUAAGUCAGUAGUGAAAGAGUGCGGCUCAACCGCAUAGACAUUACUGAAACUGCGGAGCUAGAGGACGAGAGAGGUACCUGGAAUUCCUAGUGUAGGAGUGAAAUCCGUAGAUAUUAGGAGGAACACCGAUGGCGUAGGCAGGGUACUGGCUCGUUCCUGACACUAAGGCACGAAAGCGUGGGGAGCGAACGGG